AGAGUUUGAUCCUGGCUCAGAACGAACGCUGGCGGCGUGCUUAAGACAUGCAAGUCGAACGGUAAGGCCGACUACCUUCGGGUAGUUGGUACACGAGUGGCGCACGGGUGAGUAACGCGUGGGUAAUCUGCCCUUGGGAUUGGGACAACCCCGGGAAACUGGGGCUAAUACCGGAUAAGACCACGAUGUCUCCGGACGACGUGGAAAAAGGUGGCCUCUUCUUGAAAGCUACCACCCAAGGAUGAGCCCGCGUCCCAUUAGCUUGUUGGUGAGGUAACGGCUCACCAAGGCGAUGAUGGGUAGCUGGUCUGAGAGGAUGAUCAGCCACACUGGAACUGAGACACGGUCCAGACUCCUACGGGAGGCAGCAGUCGGGAAUCUUGCGCAAUGGGCGAAAGCCUGACGCAGCAACGCCGCGUGAGGGAUGAAGGCCCUCGGGUCGUAAACCUCUGUCGGGAGGGAAGAACAGUUUCCGUUCAAAUAGGGCGGGGACCUGACGGUACCUCCAAAGGAAGCACCGGCUAACUCCGUGCCAGCAGCCGCGGUAAUACGGAGGGUGCAAGCGUUGUUCGGAAUUAUUGGGCGUAAAGCGCGUGUAGGCGGCCAGGCAAGUCGGGUGUGAAAGCCCGGGGCUCAACCCCGGAAUUGCACUCGAAACUGCUUGGCUAGAGUCCUGGAGGGGAAGGCGGAAUUCCCGGUGUAGGGGUGAAAUCCGUAGAUAUCGGGAGGAACACCAGUGGCGAA
rnacentral:rRNA from 1 species